UACGAGGGGGGCGAGCGUUGUUCGGAAUUAUUGGGCGUAAAGGGUGCGUAGGCGGUUUGGUAAGUCUGAUGUGAAAUCCCCGGGCUCAACCUGGGAAUGGCAGUGGAUACUGGAAAGCUGGAGUGCGGUAGAGGGUAGUGGAAUUCCCGGUGUAGCAGUGAAAUGCGUAGAGAUCGGGAGGAACACCAGUGGCGAAGGCGGCUACCUGGACCAGCACUGACACUGAGGCACGAAAGCGUGGGGAGCAAACAGG
rnacentral:rRNA from 1 species